rnacentral:rRNA from 1 species
GAUGAACGCUAGCGGCAGGCCUAAUACAUGCAAGACGAACGGUAAGCAGUGUAGCAAUACAUUGCCUAGAGUGUCGUAAGGGUGCGUAACAAAUAUGCAAUCUGCCCUCAACAGGAGGAUAGCUCCCCGAAAGGGGAAUUAACACUCCAUAAUACGUGUGAGCCGGCAUCGGCUAGACAUUAAAACUACGGUGGUUGAGGAUGAGCAUGCUUCUGAUUAGUUAGUUGGUGGUGUAACGGACCACCAAGACGAUGAUCAGUAGGGGAACUGAGAGGUUGAUCCCCCACACUGGCACUGAGAUACGGGCCAGACUCCUACGGGAGGCAGCAGUAGGGAAUAUUGGUCAAUGGAUGCAAGUCUGAACCAGCCAUGCCGCGUGCAGGAAGAAGGCCUUCUGGGUUGUAAACUGCUUUUGUCAGGGGAUAAAAUGAGCGUGCGCGCUUAAUUGAAGGUACCUGGCGAAUAAGCCACGGCUAACUACGUGCCAGCCGCCGCCGUAA